AUAAAGGUUCGGGCGACAGAAAGUGAAGCCGAAGAAGAAACGACUCCACGCCAGCUUUAAGAACAAUUGAGGUUGAGCAGGCGAUGGAAUGGAUCGGUGUUGAGCGGAUUUCCCUUUUGAUGUUUAUGUAAUGAAACCUUGAGUAUGCAUCUCCAUAUGCAUAACUCACACGUUUUUCCGCUGCAAACACUCUGAAUUUGUUAUCGUAUUGUGGAACUUAUUACUCCUUCAUUUUGUAUAACUUUCAUUUGGGGUUUAGUCGUUAUGGCUGGCUCAUUUGUUAAUUACUCAAGUGGUUAUAUAUAUAUAUAUAUACCACUAGUUUGUUGUUAUUAAUGUUGGUUAUUUAGUAAA